rnacentral:rRNA from 1 species
UACGUAGGGGGCAAGCGUUAUCCGGAUUUACUGGGUGUAAAGGGAGCGUAGGCGGCGAUGCAAGUCAGAAGUGAAAGCCCGGGGCUCAACUCCGGGACUGCCUUUGAAACUGUGUUGCUAGAUUGCAGGAGAGGUAAGUGGAAUUCCUAGUGUAGCGGUGAAAUGCGUAGAUAUUAGGAGGAACACCAGUGGCGAAGGCGGCUUACUGGACUGUAAAUGACGCUGAGGCUCGAAAGCGUGGGGAGCAAACAGG